UACGAAGGGGGCUAGCGUUGCUCGGAAUCACUGGGCGUAAAGCGCACGUAGGCGGCUUACUAAGUCAGGGGUGAAAUCCUGGAGCUCAACUCCAGAACUGCCUUUGAUACUGGUAAGCUCGAGUACGGGAGAGGUGAGUGGAACUGCGAGUGUAGAGGUGAAAUUCGUAGAUAUUCGCAAGAACACCAGUGGCGAAGGCGGCUCACUGGCCCGGUACUGACGCUGAGGUGCGAAAGCGUGGGGAGCAAACAGG
rnacentral:rRNA from 1 species